AUACGUAGGGGGCGAGCGUUGUCCGGAAUGAUUGGGCGUAAAGGGCGCGUAGGCGGCCCGGUAAGUCUGGAGUGAAAGUCCUGUUUUUAAGAUGGGAAUUGCUUUGGAUACUGUCGGGCUUGAGUGCAGGAGAGGUAAGUGGAAUUCCCAGUGUAGCGGUGAAAUGCGUAGAGAUUGGGAGGAACACCAGUGGCGAAGGCGACUUACUGGACUGUAACUGACGCUGAGGCGCGAAAGUGUGGGGAGCAAACAGGAUUAGAUACCCUGGUAGUCCACACUGUAAACGAUGAAUGCUAGGUGUAGGGGGUAUCGACCCCUUCUGUGCCGCAGUCAACACAAUAAGCAUUCCGCCUGGGGAGUACGGCCGCAAGUUUGAAACUCAAAUGAAUUGACGGGG
rnacentral:rRNA from 1 species